AUUAGAAUGUUCUCCAUGCCAGAGGCAGAAGGUGGCUCAUAAUGGACAAACAAUCCCAAGCACUCAGGAAUCGAGGACUGGAACAACCUCUGCAAAGCUGCUAGCAGUGAUUUUGUGGUUAUCAAGAGCUUUGAACACUCUUUAAAC
rnacentral:lncRNA from 12 species